GGAAAGAAAGAAGAGGAGGAGGAGAAGGAGGAGGAAGGAGCGCGUCCUCGAAACCACAUAAUUUGCCCUGCCAACCAGGAAUUUCUCGCGAAACUUUCGACUCUGUUUCCUCCACUUCUGCUUUUCUCCACAAAAUAUUCUUCAAAAUGCGAUGGCAAAAGAGAAAAUCGACUUUAUAACAGGGAGCCAACACGAAGCACCUUUCAUUUCCUGUCUUUCCACACGGACGAAUUGUCUUACAGAUGGACGUCAUCAUUCCGAGCCUGGCUUUAGCUCGUGCGAUCUAAAACGAAAGAUGAUAGAUAGAUCUUUGGUAUAUACCGAAUCAAUGAAAUAUAAAAGUUUGAAAGACCUUCUAUAAAUUCGGACGUAAUCAUUCAGAACGGAACAGAAAGAGGAUACUUAUCUCAAAAAGGAGCAUCUGAAAUACUCGCGCAUUGAAGGAAAACUUGGAUGUGUACAGACGUCCACGUGCAGUAUACUCGGCUGCUUUUCUUGCUGCCUCUCGAACGUCUUCCUGAAGAUGGAUCCAGAAUAUUCUGCAUCCAGUUCUACAUUUACCACGUCCGAAUAACCAAUUAUAGUACAAGUAAAUACAUCGUAGAGGAACAGGACGAAUAUGGCUAUCCAUAAACAACCAAAGCAGCUAUCGUAAAACAACCAAAAGGAUAAUCACCGACCUGAACGAACUUCCAACACAUCCAGAAUACUGUCGCCGAACAACAUAUCUAACAACAGGAAAAAUAUUUUAAAAACCCUCUCAUUUAGCGAACAAGUAAUGGACAUCCAUAUAUUAUUAAGACAUUCUUAUAACAUAUAUAAUAUUUUACUAACAAGCAAACCAUACUUUAAU